rnacentral:lncRNA from 1 species
CAUCAAAGGUUGAACUGACCCAAAAGACACUCCGGCAUUUGCCCAGGGAUCCCCAGGGAGAAGUUGGCCUUUCCAACAGGCAUUGGUGGAUGGCAGAAGAAACCUAUAUGACACACAGCUGGGACUCCGUUUCCAAUAGAAGUCUGAUGGAAAGUCCUGGAAUUAAAGAGGGCUAGACAAGUCCCCAGACCAGGGACUUGGGUCCCUCAGAAGGCCUGUGCAGAUGCAGAAAGAUGACGCACAGAGAAGUGGCAGCCUGCUCCAGUUCCCGUAAUUAAAGAUUACAGUCAGGAUUGGAGCCCGAGGUCCUAACACCCAGUGCUCUCUCCACACUACCGUGGUGCCCGACUCAUACUUCUGCCACGACCACCCUCUCCAUUUCUGGCCCUGUUUGAAACCCCUAAUUCUCACUGAAAACAAUAAAUCCUCCAAAAUUAAGACAACACUUUCACACACAGUAGAGCAAAUGGGUGGAUGAGAACAAAUUUAUCCACAGCAGAGACAAUACAGGCACUCUGUGGUUCCCGUUAGGUUAAAGUUGAGCCCCCUAGAGACACCCCCACCUUUGUUUCUCAUGUGAACCCCUCUGAGUCAAAUAGUAACAACAGCAGUUGCUGUGAAUGGAAGUUAUAACAUUGAACUCCUGACUCUUGAAAAGUGUACAUUGUAUAGUGAACACUGUAACAGUGAGCCAGCAAAGGAGUUUUUCUGCUGCUGAGUCCAUCAGGAAAGUCACUGGGAUGUAAGCUGAGAAAGGGAGAGGGUGAGGUUUCAGAGAAAUAAGGGAGUCAUUUAAAAAUACGUUUGUUUAGUUUGUUUUUAACGGUUACAGAACAAUAGACAAUAGAGCCAGGUGUCUCAGUGACAUCUCUCAAGCUUUCCCAAGGUGUAACAUGACUGACAGCCCAUUCUGUUGAGACCACCGGUACCCAGGAGAGACAGGGAGAGAAAGAGACCACCUAGAAUAGUGUCAUCUGUGCAAAUAAGAACAUUAAAACAGAUGGGUGGAGGGAGCCAAUGAAUUCAAGACUUAUUCAAGUUUAAGUGAAAACAAGUCAUACAAAGUUGAGAUAAAAUAUAGAACAGAGUUAGAUUUAUUUUUACUGCUUUUAUUAUCUAGGUCACAAAAAAUAUAAAUGAAAUGUAAACUACACAUCCAAAGGUAUGCAUGAUACAUAAAAUUAACUGGCAUGUGGCCAACUGUGAUUUUCUUGCAAAUAUUUUCCUUAGGGGUUAAUGUUUUUAAAAUACAUCUUGCAAAUCUAUGUGAAAAACUUUAACAUCCAGUGGAAAUGUGGACAGUGUUCUUGAACAGAAAAUCACAGAAAUUAAAAUAUUGUUGAAAGUUAAAUGUUCCCCUUGUAAAAAAGGAAAGAAAAAAUAAAAAGAAAUGACCAUCAAUUUUAAAAGGACAUUUAAUGCCAAGAAAGUAAUCCCUGAAUCCCAAAGGGCAAAGAACAUCCCCAUAAAUAGAAUAUACUUAGCUCUAUGAAACUCACCACUCUGUUCUUAUUUUUCUCAUUUCACUGCUAACCAGUGACUGAAGUCAGUCUGGGUCACUAUUCGAACUACUGACCUAGAAAGUUCUGAGUGCAUAGAUAAGUAAACCUGUGCAAAUGGACGGAGGGGUCCUAAUCCACAUAAACACCCAGGAUUGCUGGGAUAGCAAAGGAAUUUGUCAUCAGUGCAUUUGUCUGGUGGCUCUGAGGCCUCGUGGGAGAAACAGAAGACAUUGGGACUACCCGCCCCACUUCUGGACCCUAGGACGAAGAGGCUCUAUCAAAAGACCUUGUUGAUAUCAUGGCGGGAAGGGAAGCUGCCCAUGAAAGCAGGUGUCAUGAGAAGAACACUCUGCCCUGGAGGGCAGCAAGCUGUCAAGGCUGACGGCCCGACCCCACGUGCCCUAAGGAGAACUGCCAGUGGCUCUGGUCACUUCACACAGGUUGUGGCAGUGGCUGCAGCCCACCAGCCACAUGGGCGACAGCAGGGUCCCUGAAACCGCGAAUGACUAAACGGGAGACGGUCCUUGCAGGAGGACCUUGCAUAAGACCCUCUCCACCAGAGCAGCCUCCCUCCACCUCUCUGAACACAAUGCCCCCAUCUAGGAUAAGCCAGAUGCCUCACAGGUGCGCUGGCAGCUCACAGAGCAGAAGCAGGAGGCUCUGAGGCUGCCCAGGACUUCCCCAGGCUCCCCACUCGGAGGUGGCUGUGCCUUUUUCUGCAGGAAUCGUAGACUCAGGGCAAGCUGGAUCUGCAUUUCUCCAAGGACUUCCUCCUUGGGACCCCAGACCCCAUAAGAGUCCUGUUCUUCAAUUACAGCAGUGAGAAUUCUGGCAAGAUGAAGACUCCCAAACCCCAAGUUACUGCUCGAGCUAACUGGGCCCUCGCCGUGUGUCAGGCCCUGCGUUAGAAGCACACACUGUACAUCACCUCAUUCCAUCACCGCAUGUGACACCGUGAGCUGUCUGCUGCUCUCAUUUUGCAGUUGAAGGCCUUGAGGCUAGACGACCUUAGAGAACAUCCCUAAGGUCACACAGUCAGUGGUCAAGCUGGGAUUCAGGCCCAGGUCUGCCUACACCAAAAGCCCCCGUGUUAGGUAUACUACACUCCCAGAAAGAGUAGCUGAAUGCAAUAUAUAUAUAUAUAUAUAUAUAUAUAUAGCCUGAAUGCACACCAGAAAGGGAAUGAUUACAUAAAUUUUAAGAUACCCACAUGGACACAAAGAAGGGAACAGACACUGAGGCCUACUUGAGGGUAGAGGGUGGGAGGACGAUGAGGAUUCAAAAACUGCUUAUCGAGCACUAUGCUUUUUACCCGGGGGAUAAAGUGAUCUGUACACCAAACCCCUAGGACGCACAAUGUACCUAUAUAACAAACCUGCACAUGUACCCCUGAGCCUAAAAUAAAAGUUUAAAAUAAAAUAAAAUAUAUAAAACUAAAUUGUACAAUACCCAUACUAUGUAACUGUAUGUAGCUAUUAUAAAUAAAUCAGCUAGAUUUACUUGUAUUAACCUAGAAACUUUCUAUGUCAU